rnacentral:piRNA from 1 species
UACUUCAGGCCAUCUGGAUGUAUACGUG